rnacentral:rRNA from 1 species
AGAGUUUGAUCCUGGCUCAGAUUGAACGCUGGCGGCAUGCCUUACACAUGCAAGUCGAACGGCAGCACGGACUUCGGUCUGGUGGCGAGUGGCGAACGGGUGAGUAACAUAUCGGAACAUACCCUAGAGUGGGGGAUAACGUAGCGAAAGUUACGCUAAUACCGCAUACGAUCUAAGGAUGAAAGUGGGGGAUCUUCGGACCUCAUGCUCAUGGAGUGGCCGAUAUCUGAUUAGCUAGUUGGUGAGGUAAAGGCUCACCAAGGCGACGAUCAGUAGCUGGUUUGAGAGAACGACCAGCCACACUGGAACUGAGACACGGUCCAGACUCCUACGGGAGGCAGCAGUGGGGAAUUUUGGACAAUGGGGGCAACCCUGAUCCAGCAAUGCCGCGUGAGUGAAGAAGGCCUUCGGGUUGUAAAGCUCUUUUGUCAGGGAAGAAACGGUGGGGGCGAAUAACUUCUACUAAUGACGGUACCUGAAGAAUAAGCACCGGCUAACUACGUGCCAGCAGCCGCGGUAAU